rnacentral:rRNA from 1 species
UACAGAGGUCUCAAGCGUUGUUCGGAUUCAUUGGGCGUAAAGGGUGCGUAGGCGGCGCGGUAAGUCGGGUGUGAAAUCUCGGAGCUUAACUCCGAAACUGCAUUCGAUACUGCCGUGCUUGAGGACUGGAGAGGAGACGUGGAAUUUACGGUGUAGCGGUGAAAUGCGUAGAUAUCGUGAAGGAAGACCAGUGGCGAAGG